CAACAGCGCAAGGGCGAUGAACCAGCAUCAGCAUCAGAGAUCCGGAGCAUCAGUGUUCAACCCACGCAGCUGGAUCACUGAAAUGAUGAAGCGUUGCGUUGAAUCUCAUCAGGUCCUUCUGGUUCAGAGACAUUUUGUGACAAAGUCAAGAUAACUGAAACCAACAUCGGAAGGAAAGUCUGCAAAGAGACAUGACAGGAAAGGAUGUACACAGUGAAUGAGAAAUGAUACCAUUCUGACAAUAUAAAUCCUGCAUCCCGCUGACUCAAACUGGGCACAAGAAUUGCAUGGUUUGUUUGGAGGAGAGCAUACCCAAAGGGACUGUCUGAGUGAGUCGAUGAACAUGAGCAUUAAAGAGGAAAAGCAGACGAUGGAUGAUGAAAAUGUGGAUGGAUGCGUGGAAGAGCUCUGGGGCUUUUCUGAGAGGAGACAAUACUGUUACAUGAUCCCAAUCCAGCCAGAAGCACACACAAAGAGGUAUUUCACCAAGAAAUGUCAUAAUUUACUCACCCUUAUGUUGCUUGAAACCUGUAUGUUGUCUGUGGAACACAAGAGUAGAUUUUUUUUGACAGUUUUUAGUGACCGAAAAGGAGAGAAAGAUAUUAAAGCAUGAUGAAAGGAUAAAAAAAGGUAGUCCUUUUGACUCAUGCAUGUGUUCCAAGUCUUCAGAAGUUGUAUUAUAACUAGGGGUGCACAUAAGUUUCUGGUUCUCAUGAGAGCACCUGGAGAUUUUGUUUGGUACUCACACUGCACAUACAGUAGUG